rnacentral:tRNA from 1 species
GGGCGGAUAGCUCAGUUGGGAGAGCGUCGGUUUUACAAGCCGAAGGUCACAGGUUCGAUCCCUGUUCCGCCUACCA